AGUGAACGCUGGCGGUAGGCCUAACACAUGCAAGUCGAACGGCAGCACAGUAAGAGCUUGCUCUUACGGGUGGCGAGUGGCGGACGGGUGAGGAAUACAUCGGAAUCUACUUUUUCGUGGGGGAUAACGUAGGGAAACUUACGCUAAUACCGCAUACGACCUACGGGUGAAAGCAGGGGAUCUUCGGACCUUGCGCGAUUGAAUGAGCCGAUGUCGGAUUAGCUAGUUGGCGGGGUAAAGGCCCACCAAGGCGACGAUCCGUAGCUGGUCUGAGAGGAUGAUCAGCCACACUGGAACUGAGACACGGUCCAGACUCCUACGGGAGGCAGCAGUGGGGAAUAUUGGACAAUGGGCGCAAGCCUGAUCCAGCCAUACCGCGUGGGUGAAGAAGGCCUUCGGGUUGUAAAGCCCUUUUGUUGGGAAAGAAAAGCAGCAGGUUAAGACCCCGCUGUUCUGACGGUACCCAAAGAAUAAACACCGGCUAACUUCGU
rnacentral:rRNA from 1 species